GCAUCGCCUGGGCGCAGCCUGAUCCAGCAAUGCCGCGUGAGUGAAGAAGGCCUUCGGGUUGUAAAGCUCUUUUGUCAGGGAAGAAACGGUUCAGGCUAAUAUCCUGGGCUAAUGACGGUACCUGAAGAAUAAGCACCGGCUAACUACGUGCCAGCAGCCGCGGUAAUACGUAGGGUGCAAGCGUUAAUCGGAAUUACUGGGCGUAAAGCGUGCGCAGGCGGUUUUGUAAGUCUGACGUGAAAGCCCCGGGCUCAACCUGGGAAUUGCGUUGGAGACUGCAAGGCUUGAAUCUGGCAAAGGGGGGUAGAAUUCCACGUGUAGCAGUGAAAUGCGUAAAGAUGUGGAGGAACACCGAUGGCGAAGGCAGCCCCCUGGGUCAAGAUUGACGCUCAUGCACGAAAGCGUGGGGAGCAAACAGGAUUAAAUACCCUGGUAGUCCACGCCCUAAACGAUGUCUACUAGUUGUCGGGUUUUAAUUAACUUGGUAACGCAGCUAACGCGUGAAGUAAACCGCCUGGGGAGUACGGUCGCAAGAUUAAAACUCAAAUGAAAUUUGACGG
rnacentral:rRNA from 1 species